AUGUCUUCCUACACCUCCUUCCAGCCGACACUCAGCGGUGGAGUCCCGGAGAAGCUAUCCCGCACCAACUGCGUUCUGUGGCAAACGCAGAUCACACCGCAGCUGCGGGGCAACGGCGUCUUCCACUACGUCGACGACACGGCAUCCGAACCGGCCAAAGACCUCGUCACCAAAGACGCCGCCGGGAAGGAGACCUGUGGGCCGAAUCCUCUCCAUUCGAUCUGGGUGAGGGAGGACCAGCAGGUUCUUGGAUACCUGCUCCAAAACCUCUCCAAGGAGGUUUCGUCAUGGUGA
rnacentral:rRNA from 1 species